rnacentral:rRNA from 1 species
GUUAUAGGGUCAAGUGAAUAAGAGCACGUGGUGGAUGCCUUGGCAAUGAUAGGCGACGAAGGACGUGAUAGCCUGCGAUAAGCUUCGGGGAGCUGGCAAAUUAGCUUUGAUCCGGAGAUUUCCGAAUGGGGAAACCCACCGAAAGGUAUCGCAUGAUGAAUACAUAGUCAUGCGAGGCGAACCGGGUGAACUGAAACAUCUCAGUAGCUCGAGGAAAAGACAUCAACCGAGAUUCCGAAAGUAGUGGCGAGCGAAAUCGGAGAAGCCUGUUAGUGAUAGCACAAGACAUAACGGAACGGCUUGGAAAGGCCGGCCAUAGCGGGUGAUAGCCCCGUACGUGAAAUGACCUGUGUGGUACUGAGCUAACGACAAGUAGGGCGGGACACGAGAAAUCCUGUCUGAAUAUGGGGGGACCAUCCUCCAAGGCUAAAUACUCAUCAUUGACCGAUAGUGAACUAGUACCGUGAGGGAAAGGCGAAAAGAACCCCGGGAGGGGAGUGAAAUAGAUCCUGAAACCGCGUGCUUACAAAAAGUAGGAGCCCGCAAGGGUGACUGCGUACCUUUUGUAUAAUGGGUCAGCGACUUACAUUCAGUGGCAAGGUUAACCGAAUAGGGAAGCCGUAGAGAAAUCGAGUCCGAAUAGGGCGAUCAGUCGCUGGGUGUAGACCCGAAACCAAGUGAUCUAUCCAUGGCCAGGAUGAAGGUGCCGUAACAGGUACUGGAGGUCCGAACCGACUAGUGUUGCAAAACUAGCGGAUGAGCUGUGGAUAGGGGUGAAAGGCUAAACAAACUUGGAAAUAGCUGGUUCUCUCCGAAAACUAUUUAGGUAGUGCCUCAAGUAUUACCAUCGGGGGUAGAGCACUGUUUUGGCUAGGGGGUCAUGGCGACUUACCAAACCAAGGCAAACUCCGAAUACCGAUGAGUACAGCUUGGGAGACAGAGCACCGGGUGCUAACGUCCGGACUCAAGAGGGAAACAACCCAGACCGCCAGCUAAGGUCCCUAAAAUUGGCUAAGUGGGAAACGAAGUGGGAAGGCUAAAACAGUCAGGAUGUUGGCUUAGAAGCAGCCAUCAUUUAAAGAAAGCGUAAUAGCUCACUGAUCGAGUCGUCCUGCGCGGAAGAUGUAACGGGGCUAAGCCAGUUACCGAAGCUGCGGAUUUGCAAUUUAUUGCAAGUGGUAGGAGAGCGUUCUGUAAGCCUGUGAAGGUGCGUUGUAAAGCGUGCUGGAGGUAUCAGAAGUGCGAAUGCUGACAUGAGUAGCGUUAAAGGGGGUGAAAAGCCCCCUCGCCGUAAGCGCAAGGUUUUCUACGCAACGUUCAUCGGCGUAGAGUGAGUCGGCCCCUAAGGCGAGGCAGAGAUGCGUAGCUGAUGGGAAACAGGUCAAUAUUCCUGUACCGAUUGUUAGUGCGAUGUGGGGACGGAUCUUAAUAGGUCAUCCGGGUGUUGGAUAUCCCGGUUUAGAUGGAUGUAGGCGUGCAUUAGGCAAAUCCGGUGCACAUAUACCGAGGCCAACGAUCGAGCCAGCUUGCUGGUGAAGUGACUGAACGAGGUUCCAGGAAAAGCCACUAAGCUUCAGCUACACACGACCGUACCGCAAACCGACACUGGUGCGCGAGAUGAGUAUUCUAAGGCGCUUGAGAGAACUCAGGAGAAGGAACUCGGCAAAUUGACACCGUAACUUCGGAAGAAGGUGUGCCCUAUUAGUGUGAAGUGAACAACGGAGCAUGAAUGGGUUGCAAAAAAUCGGUGGCUGCGACUGUUUAUUAAAAACACAGCACUCUGCAAACACGAAAGUGGACGUAUAGGGUGUGACGCCUGCCCGGUGCUGGAAGAUUAAAUGAUGGGGUGCAAGCUCUUGAUUGAAGUCCCAGUAAACGGCGGCCGUAACUAUAACGGUCCU